UCAUUUAAAGAAAGCGUAAUAGCUCACUGGUCGAGUCGGCCUGCGCGGAAGAUGUAACGGGGCUAAACCAUGCACCGAAGCUGCGGCAGCGACACUAUGUGUUGUUGGGUAGGGGAGCGUUCUGUAAGCCGUUGAAGGUGGCCUGUGAGGGUUGCUGGAGGUAUCAGAAGUGCGAAUGCUGACAUAAGUAACGAUAAUGCGGGUGAAAAACCCGCACGCCGGAAGACCAAGGGUUCCUGUCCAACGUUAAUCGGGGCAGGGUGAGUCGACCCCUAAGGCGAGGCCGAAAGGCGUAGUCGAUGGGAAACAGGUUAAUAUUCCUGUACUUGGUGUUACUGAGAAGGGGGGACGGAGAAGGCUAUGUUAGCCGGGCGACGGUUGUCCCGGUUUAAGCAUGUAGGCGGAGAUUCCAGGUAAAUCCGGAGUCUUGUUAACGCUGAGGUGUGAUGACGAGGCACUACGGUGCUGAAGUAACAAAUGCCCUGCUUCCAGGAAAAGCCUCUAAGCAUCAGGUAACACGAAAUCGUACCCCAAACCGACACAGGUGGUCAGGUAGAGAAUACCAAGGCGCUUGAGAGAACUCGGGUGAAGGAACUAGGCAAAAUGGUGCCGUAACUUCGGGAGAAGGCACGCUGAUAUGUAGGUGAAGUGAUUUACUCAUGGAGCUGAAAUCAGUCGAAGAUACCAGCUGGCUGCAACUGUUUAUUAAAAACACAGCACUGUGCAAACACGAAAGUGGACGUAUACGGUGUGACGCCUGCCCGGUGCCGGAAGGUUAAUUGAUGGGGUUAUCCGUAAGGAGAAGCUCUUGAUCGAAGCCCCGGUAAACGGCGGCCGUAACUAUAACGGUCCUAAGGUAGCGAAAUUCCUUGUCGGGUAAGUUCCGACCUGCACGAAUGGCGUAAUGAUGGCCAGGCUGUCUCCACCCGAGACUCAGUGAAAUUGAACUCGCUGUGAAGAUGCAGUGUACCCGCGGCAAGACGGAAAGACCCCGUGAACCUUUACUAUAGCUUGACACUGAACACUGGUCCUUGAUGUGUAGGAUAGGUGGGAGGCUUUGAAGUGUGGACGCCAGUCUGCAUGGAGCCAACCUUGAAAUACCACCCUUUAAUGGCUGGUGUUCUAACGUAGACCCGUGAUCCGGGUUGCGGACAGUGUCUGGUGGGUAGUUUGACUGGGGCGGUCUCCUCCUAAAGAGUAACGGAGGAGCACGAAGGUUAGCUAAUCCUGGUCGGACAUCAGGAGGUUAGUGCAAAGGCAUAAGCUAGCUUGACUGCGAGAGUGACGGCUCGAGCAGGUGCGAAAGCAGGUCUUAGUGAUCCGGUGGUUCUGAAUGGAAGGGCCAUCGCUCAACGGAUAAAAGGUACUCCGGGGAUAACAGGCUGAUACCGCCCAAGAGUUCAUAUCGACGGCGGUGUUUGGCACCUCGAUGUCGGCUCAUCACAUCCUGGGGCUGAAGUAGGUCCCAAGGGUAUGGCUGUUCGCCAUUUAAAGUGGUACGCGAGCUGGGUUUAGAACGUCGUGAGACAGUUCGGUCCCUAUCUGCCGUGGGCGCUGGAGAAUUGAGGGGGGCUGCUCCUAGUACGAGAGGACCGGAGUGGACGCAUCACUGGUGUUCGGGUUGUCAUGCCAAUGGCAUUGCCCGGUAGCUAAAUGCGGAAGAGAUAAGUGCUGAAAGCAUCUAAGCACGAAACUUGCCCCGAGAUGAGUUCUCCCUGACCCUUUAAGGGUCCUGAAGGAACGUUGAAGACGACGACGUUGAUAGGUCGGGUGUGUAAGCGUAGCGAUACGUUGAGCUAACCGAUACUAAUGAACCGUGAGGCUUAACCUUACAACGCCGAAGGUGUUU
rnacentral:rRNA from 1 species